CACCAGGUGUGCGAGAGGAAAAGAGGUGGUGUGGAGCGACACAGAGAGCGGACUUGAUAUAUUUCGUGUGUGCUUGGACAGAAUUCACAAGCUAAACUGUCAAAGCUCCAUAGAGCUCUUGUUGCUCCUCCCUGUAGGACGAGAACCUACCCUCGUACAGUACAACUGAUCUCUGGCUCUCAGCAGACCCGUCACCGAGAACCAUGCCAUCCCACCUGGCCAGCUGCCACGAACCCCUUUGGAUGCAAUACACAGCCUGAAGCUGCUCACUUCUGUGGAUAUUGCCCUCCUGGCUACGCUGCAAGAGAGAGCCCUGCUGACUAGAGUUCCCCCAGCCCUAAUCCUACCUGGUUACGGGUCCUUUUCUUUUCCCACCACGUGUGCUGCCAAGCUUGCCCAGUGAGUUUGGCUCAUGAUGUUAUCACAACAUAGGGUUAAUUUUACGGGUGUCUCUCUCCGUGGUAAACAAGUUAUUCACAUUAUCUGUCAUCCCCAUUAAUCCUGCUCGGGGAAACUGGAAGGAGCAGCUUUAAGUGGUUACGCUUUGCCCUGUGUGACCCCACCCCUAGAGCUCAUUGGUUCAGGACGUACUCCUAACCAACAGGCAGUCAAUCAAUAGGCUUGUCAGCAACUCAUUUCAUAACCUGGCACUCAUACACAUAAAAGCUGGGUUAAUCCUUGCUUCUUUCUUGGAAAUAUAAACAGAGAAAUGACAAGAAAGAAAGAUGUAGCAGGUUGCUUAGGAACAAGAAAAUAAGAGUGGAAGCCACAAUGGGUCAUCAUAAUAAGUCCAAAUUGCAAAAUAUUGAAACUAUGAGCAAGCAGAAGUGAUGGAGGAGAGAAGAGUUUCAAGCCAAGGGAAACAAGAAGCUGAGAGAAGCAUCUAGGUCAAUGGGCAUGACCUUCCAGCCCCUGCCACAGAGCCCUAGAGUCUCCUGAAACUAGAGUAGCUCCCCAGUCCCAGGGCUCUGAGCUUGCCCCCUCCAUCUGUGGAAGACCAACUCCACAUUUAGUUUUACAAGAAAACUCCCUCCUGAACUAGCCUGCCUGUGUCUGCUCCUUAAGACCAAGAAAACCCUCCCAUUUUACGUAUGUUCUCUGUGUGCAAAGAGGGUGGCAUGUAUCUUUGUAGCUGUUUACCCCUAAUAUAAUGCAUGCUAAGCAAUGGGUUCUCAGUAAAUGAAUGCUGAAUAAAAGAAUUUUUAAAAGCCC
rnacentral:lncRNA from 1 species